rnacentral:lncRNA from 1 species
UGAUGAUCCUGCUGGGAGAUAAUAUGGGAUAUUGGUUUAUCAAUCACUCUCUGAAACCCAGCAUGUCCACCUAGUUCUAAAGCUCCAAAGAACAGAAGUUUAAGCAAGAAUCUUGCAAAAGCAUUCCUAAGUGUAGCCUCAGUGUGAGGAUCUCAAACUUACUCAGUUUUGGUGAUGCGGAUGGAAUGCUAAUAGAAACAUGACUUUCUGGAAAAGGAAAGACCCUGAAAUGGUGACACACACUUCUGCUUGUGAUUUGUA